GCAUCGGUGGUUCAGUGGUAGAAUUCUCGCCUCCCACACGAGUGGCCCGGGUUCGAUUCCCGGUCAUGCA
rnacentral:tRNA from 1 species